GAUGAACGCUGGCGGCGUGCUUAACACAUGCAAGUCGAACGGGUUUAUGAUGAAACCUAGUGAUUCAUAAGUUAGUGGCGGACGGGUGGGUAACGCGUGGAUAACCUGACUUAUACCGGGGGAUAACACUUAGAAAUAGGUGCUAAUACCGCAUAAGCGCAAAGAGCCGCAUGGCUUGGUGUGAAAAACUCCGGUGGUGUAAGAUGGAUCCGCGUCUGAUUAGCUAGUUGGUGAGGUAAGGGCUCACCAAGGCGACGAUCAGUAGCCGGCCUGAGAGGAUGAACGGCCACAUUGAGACUGAGACACGGCGCAAACUCCUACGGGAGGCAGCAGUGGGGAAUAUUGCACAAUGGGCGAAAGCCUGAUGCAGCGACGCCGCGUGAGUGAAGAAGUAUUUCAGUAUGUAAAGCUCUAUCAGCAAGGAAGAAAAUGACGGUACUUGACUAAGAAGCCCCGGCUAACUACGUGCCAGCCGCCGCAGUAA
rnacentral:rRNA from 1 species